rnacentral:rRNA from 1 species
UCGACCCUACGGGGCGCAGCAGUGGGGGAUAUUGCACAAUGGGGGGAACCCUGAUGCAGCGACGCCGCGUGGGUGAAGGAGUGCUUCGGCAUGUAAAGCCCUAUCGGCAGGGAAGAAGCAAGACGGUACCUGACUAAGAAGCCCCGGCUAACUACGUGCCAGCAGCCGCGGUAAUACGUAGGGGGCGAGCGUUAUCCGGAUUCACUGGGUGUAAAGAGAGCGUAGACGGCCAAGCAAGCCAGGGGUGAAAGCCCGGGGCCCAACCCCGGGACUGCCCUUGGAACUGCAUGGCUGGAGGGCGGGAG